UUAUUGCCCUAGAGAAAGAGAACAAUAUACAUCUCUUUCAACUCGAAGAGUUGAACGUUAAAUCGUUAUUUCAAAUUUGAAUUUAAAGCAAAGAAUUGUGAAUACUAGCUCUACAAAUUUUGCUACUUACGAAGGCAGUGUACUUUUAUUUUGAGAGAAUCUAGUGAGAAGAAGAGACUUUUUUUAGUGGAAUUUUGCUACUAAAUUUAUUUUGUUGGGAAAGAAAGACUUUCAAAUUUUUUGUUCUUUUGAGAACAUCCAUCAUGCCUCAAAGUUGCUCAGCAUAUAACUGCACAGUUAAAAGAAAGAAAGGGGAGAAUAUAACAUUACACUCGUAAGUUUUAUCAUCCCUUUAAAGCAACGAAAACUGAUGAAAAACAUUCGAAUUUACAGUUUUCCGAAUCCAGGCACAUUGAGAAAUGAAUGGAUAUUGGCUUUGAGAAGAGCCAAUUUUGUUCCUACUCAAUAUUCAAGGAUAUGCAGCAAUCAUUUUCAGGAAAAUGAAGUUUAUGAAAACGAAGGGACUAACUGGAAAACUGCGUAAAGAAGCCUCAAUAUCAUCUAUGCAGUUAUGGCAAAUUUAGAAUUUCUACAAAUAAUAAUAAUAAUAGGCAAAUAUUAUGGAGGUAAAUUUUUUAUGGCUGCUUUAAUCUAUUAAAUUUGAUUCUAUUCGAAAUAGAUUGAAAGGUGAAAUAGAUCAUGAGUUGGAGAAUGGAAUAGUAUAGAACCUCAAUGCUCAAUCCUAAUGGUAUUUCGAUAAUCAUGGAUGAAUGAAUGUUCUCUUUUAUCUAAUAAAAAUUUUCUGUAGCAUAAUUUUUCUACCUGAAGUAAAAGAAAUAUUACCAAUUCAAAAGAUGA